GAUGAAUACAUUUAUUUUAGAAGUAUUAUAUCUAUGCAUUUAAUUUAUUUUAAAACAAUCAAUUAUUCUGUUUUGUUUUUGUCAUAAUUCUCAGACAACAGCAAAAAUCCAGGAGGAGACCCAGACUCUCAAACUUUAAGAGUGAUUUGGGUGUAGGCGAUGAGACUGUACAUUGGAAGUUCAGCAAUGGGCUAAUACAGGUAAAUGAAUACAACAACAAAAAACAACCUACUCUCCUGGGCUGUCACCUUGACAUAGUGGAGAGGCCUGCGUACUCCAAUGACCCUGAGAGCUAACCCUUAGAGGGUGUUCCACUGGAUGUCAUAAGGUGAAUGCACCAAUUUGUAAGUCGCUCUGGAUAAGAGCGUCUGCUAAAUGACUUAAAUGUUAUGUUUAAUGUUAAUGUGUAUUCCACCAGCAGGUGCAAUCAAGCCGGACAGGUGGAAGGGUAGGAGGCAGACAAAACAUUCCCUGGUCCUCCAGGUUGGGGCUCACUCACCCCCCACAUAACAAAUCAUUUUUUAAAGAAACCUUCACAGGCCCUAUGUUCCUCCAGGAAGUGAGUGCAACUACUCACCGUUGGAGAUACGUUGUUCAUUUAUAGAUUUAUUGUAUUUCAGAGGAAACUAAUGAGAACAUGGAUGGUCCUCAGGUUCUACAGAAUUGAAGUUCUGUUUCUUAGCAUCAAACAAAAGAAACAGAACCUCUACCGUCACAGGUAGAUAGUAUAGACACCUUCUGACCAGAAAGCUAUUGGAAGAAAAAGCUAAAUUGACAGCUGCCAUAGAGUACAACACCCGUGUACCAGAUUCAGCAAUACCAUCUGCAGAUGAGAUCCUUUCCGCAGACCUUCAUGCAUGGCCUUGGGAGCUGCAUGGACAAACUGACCUACUCAAAGACAAUAGUCUUUGACCGGGUGAUGCUCCUGAGACAGCUGAAAGAGGAGGAGUUAACUAUCCUAAAGGAAGUCAAGCAGCACUGGGAAAGCUUAAAGAAGGAAUCGGAGAAUGUGCAAGACCUUGCUUCACACGUGACAGUUGACCUAAGCAGGAAAAGUAGGGGAACUUUCAUGAAUUGAUGUUGGCACCCUGUAAUUGUUAUUGUAUUUAAGGAAUACUUCAUUGUAUUUACCCUACACAUUACGAUUGUUGGUGUUCGGCUGGCAAUUGAAUCAGUCGGAAGCUGGGAGCAGAGUUCUCUUCUCCAUGCUUCAGAGGAGAGUCAGCAGCCUCAGAAGACACCAGGACUGUGUCAAACUGAUAUACAGCAAAGCUAUGGGCCAAGACACCACCCUCCUAGAAAAUAACUUCAUAGAUGACCUCCUGGUAGAGGACCUAGAUGACAGCAUCCAUCUGACAGCAUCCUCUGAUGACGAGUAAUCUAUGACAGACUGAAGGUGUUCGUUUGGGUGGUUGCAGUUUGCACUGGGUGAAAAGUGAUUCCAUUUGUUUUGCAUAUGUGCUUUAUCUGCCUUCCUAAGGAAAAAUAGGGGUGUAUAAAGGUUCAUGGCAGAAAACAAGUGUAUGCAUAGAAAUGCUUAUAUAAACUAUGUUACAUCGAUGUUGACGCUUCUAGAAGUUCAAAAAUAGACACUCAACAGUCUAGGGUAGCCUAGUGGUUAGAGCGUUGGACUAGUUGCCGGAAGGUUGCAAAUUCAAAUCCCCGAGCUGACAAGGUACAAAUCUGUCGUUCUGCCCCUGAACAGGCAGUUAACCCACUGUCAUUGAAAAUAAUGUUUUUUUCUUAACUGUCUUGCCUAGUUAAAUAAAGGUAAAAUAAAAAUAAAAUGCAGAAAUCUUUUUAGAGGAAAACAUAAAGCUUACCAGUUUGUUUGCUACAUUAACCAAGAUAGCAUAUCUUCCAUGUUUCAUUGUCUUAUUUGCCCAUUCAUCUUUUGCCUUCAUUUUUGGGGGCUCUAACUUGACCUUUAGCCUUUGAUGCUACUGCUAUUGAUGUGUUACAACUAGGACACAGCUUAAGGUUGGAGCCAUUCUGCAUGAAAGGUGGAUACGAAAGUGUCAGAAAGAAUAGCCCUAUACACAUAACUUUGACUGAUGGAAUGCACCAGGGAGGUCCACUCUGGCAUGAGGCUUGAAUUGACAAGGAGAACAAGAGAUUGUGAGAUAAAAAACUACACUAACAAUAGCAAUUAAUAAAGAGAGUUUGGACAACUAAGGAGCUGACGUUGAAUUUGCAUUAAACAUCAAGCCCUGACCCUUCUCAAACCCACUAAAGAAGUGCUGUGUGUGUGUUUGAAGGUGACAUGGGUUUGAAUGACUCAAUCAUAUGGGUCAGAUCUGAUAAUGGACCUCGCCUAGUAAUAAAACUAAGCCUGAGGCUUUAACAUGCCACACUGUAACGUAAUGUCUCAGACUAACUGUUGACUACUAUUGUAACCUAGAUGUAGGCUACCUGCCAUAGCCUCAGGUGCAUAGGGCAAUGAGUGUCAUUAGUUGACAGAUGAAACAAUAACUGGGUCAGUGGGAUUUGGUUACUUAUUUUAAGAUGCCAUUUUUGAAUAGUCUCCAAUUGGUUUGCAUUUUUAAACUACAACCUGGUUUGUUUUUGAAAACACAAGAAAUGGGAAGAAAGCUGAAUUAAAAGAGAAAGUUUCCACUUAAUUAAAAAUGCAGGAUACAUAUUUUAAUUUAAAAAAUGUAACUGAGCAUUAAAAUGUACUUAAUUUGUAAGUAGAUUACAUCACAAAAAUUACAGGUGGUGUACAAAAAUGUAAAGAAU